ACUGCUUUUGUACGGGAAGAAAAUCAGCUACGUGUAGUUGUUUGCCGGUACCGUACGAAUAAGGAUCGGCUAACUCCGUGCCAGCAGCCGCGGUAAUACGGAGGAUCCGAGCGUUAUCCGGAUUUAUUGGGUUUAAAGGGUGCGUAGGCGGACUGGUAAGUCAGUGGUGAAAUCCUGCAGCUUAACUGUAGAAUUGCCGUUGAUACUGUUAGUCUUGAGUACAUUUGAGGUAGGCGGAAUGUGGUGUGUAGCGGUGAAAUGCAUAGAUAUACCACAGAACACCGAUUGCGAAGGCAGCUUACUAAACUGUAACUGACGCUGAGGCACGAAAGCGUGGGUAUCAAACAGGAUUAGAUACCCUGGUAGUCCACGCUGUAAACGAUGAUUACUGGUUGUUUGCGAUACAUUGCAAGUGACUGAGCGAAAGCAUUAAGUAAUCCACCUGGGGAGUACGUCGGCAACGAUGAAACUCAAAGGAAUUGACGGGGGCCCGCACAAGCGGAGGAACAUGUGGUUUAAUUCGAUGAUACGCGAGGAACCUUACCUGGGUUUAAAUGGGAAGUGACAGGCUUGGAAACAGGCCCUUCUUCGGACACUUUUCAAGGUGCUGCAUGGUUGUCGUCAGCUCGUGCCGUGAGGUGUCGGGUUAAGUCCCAUAACGAGCGCAACCCCUAUCGAUAGUUACCAGCACGUCAUGGUGGGGACUCUAUCGAGACUGCCGGUGUAAACCGUGAGGAAGGUGGGGAUGACGUCAAAUCAGCACGGCCCUUACAUCCAGGGCUACACACGUGUUACAAUGGCCGGUACAAAGGGCAGCUACACAGCGAUGUGAUGCUAAUCUCUAAAGCCGGUCUCAGUUCGGAUCGAAGUCUGCAACCCGACUUCGUGAAGCUGGAUUCGCUAGUAAUCGCGCAUCAGCCAUGGCGCGGUGAAUACGUUCCCGGGCCUUGUACACACCGCCCGUCAAGCCAUGAAAGCCGGGGGUACCUAAAGAAUGUAACCGCAAGGAGCGUUUUAGGGUAAACUUGGUAAUUGGGGCUAAGUCGUAACAAGGUAGCCGUACCGGAAGGUGUGGCUG
rnacentral:rRNA from 1 species